rnacentral:rRNA from 1 species
AACGAAUGCUGGCGGCAGGCCUAACACAUGCAAGUCGAACGCAUCCUUCGGGGUGAGUGGCAGACGGGUGAGUAACGCGUGGGAACGUGCCCUUCAGUUCGGGAUAACCCAGGGAAACUUGGGCUAAUACCGGAUACGUGCGAGAGCAGAAAGAUUUAUCGCUGAAGGAUCGGCCCGCGUCCGAUUAGCUAGUUGGUGGGGUAAUGGCCCACCAAGGCGACGAUCAGUAGCUGGUCUGAGAGGAUGAUCAGCCACAUUGGGACUGAGACACGGCCCAAACUCCUACGGGAGGCAGCAGUGGGGAAUAUUGGACAAUGGGCGCAAGCCUGACCCAGCCAUGCCGCGUGAGUGAUGAAGGCCUUAGGGUUGUAAAGCUCUUUCGUCCGGGACGAUAAUGACGGUACCGGAAGAAGAAGCCCCGGCUAACUUCGUGCCAGCCGCCGCGGUAA